AUAAUUUCCUGGUAGACCUACUGCACAGCAGUGAAGUUAUUUAUGUAUAAUAAAGCAAGAACAUUUAAGCUACCAAAUAGAAAAAAGCCAUUGUAGUGGAAAUGCUAAGUCACGGCCUGAACCAGCAAUUGAGCACCUGGUAGAAAGGCAGAGCCAACACAAGAGAGCUCAGAUACAUGCAAUGUACCUUAGUAACUGGAAGGGGCGGAGCCAGGAUCCAAUCCUUCCCAGACCUCAUUUAAGGGUUGGCGGUGGAGGUAAGGGUAUCUUGCUGGAAAUCCCUGUCUACCAGAGGUGUUCUGAAGAUGUCUUCAUCAUAUCAUCCAUUUAGUGGACACCUGAUGAGGAUAUAUGGACACUAGACAGUACUCUCUUGCUCUUCAGUUGAAAACAGGUGGAUGGAAUGAAUCUUGUUUGGUGAUUAGGGAGAAGCACAAUCAGAGGAUAAAAUCACAACACAGAAUUCAGCCGAUCCUGAAAUUCAGGAUAGAGAUCUAUGAUGGAGGUCUACAAAUACCUUGUCUCCAAAAAAAUCUUGAGAACUUCUAAAGCACACGUUAAGGUUACCACUACUGAAUGCCAUCUUGGCUUCUCUGGACAAAAAUUGUACCUCAC
ensembl:lncRNA